GGCCGUUUGAAUUAUGCAAUGAAUUGUUACAAAGUGUUUUAAAAUAUAUCAGACUUCACAAAAAGUAAUUUUUAUCCGGAAGCCAUGGUUCUGUGGUUCCUCCGGAACGAAGAAACAAUAACAAGGACACAGCCUGACCAAGCCAGCACCUGCCUGAUUCCAAGCUCCUCCUGCAGGCAGG
rnacentral:lncRNA from 1 species